rnacentral:rRNA from 1 species
AUUGAACGCUGGCGGCAGGCCUAACACAUGCAAGUCGAGCGAGCGGCGGACGGGUGAGUAAUGUAUGGGGAUCUGCCCGAUGGAGGGGGAUAACUAAUGGAAACGGUGGCUAAUACCGCAUACUAUCGGAUGAACCCAUAUGGGAUUAGGUAGUUGGUGGGGUAACGGCUCACCUAGCCGACGAUCUCUAGCUGGUCUGAGAGGAUGAUCAGCCACACUGGGACUGAGACACGGCCCAGACUCCUACGGGAGGCAGCAGUGGGGAAUAUUGCACAAUGGGCGCAAGCCUGAUGCAGCCAUGCCGCGUGUAUGAAGAAGGCCUUCGGGUUGUAAAGUUCUUUCAGCAGGGAGGCGUUACCCGCAGAAGAAGCACCGGCUAACUCCGUGCCAGCAGCCGCGGUAAUUC